AGAGUUUGAUCAUGGCUCAGAACGAACGCUGGCGGCAGGCUUAAUACAUGCAAGUCGAGCGGUCUCUUUCGGGAGACAGCGGCGGACGGGUUAGUAACGCGUGGGAACGUGCCCUUUAGUACGGAAUAGCCAUUGGAAACGAUGAUUAAUACCGUAUACGCCCUAUGGGGGAAAGAUUUAUCGCUAAAGGAUCGGCCCGCGUUAGAUUAGGUUGUUGGUGGGGUAAUGGCCUACCAAGCCUACGAUCUAUAGCUGGUUUGAGAGGAUGAUCAGCAACACUGGGACUGAGACACGGCCCAGACUUCUACGGAAGGCAGCAGUAGGGAAUCUUGGACAAUGGGCGAAAGCCUGAUCCAGCCAUGCCGCGUGAGUGAUGAAGGCCCUAGGGUUGUAAAACUCUUUCGCCAGGGAAGAUAAUGACGGUACCUGGUAAAGAAACCCCGGCUAACUCCGUGCCAGCAGCCGCGGUAAUACGGAGGGGGUUAGCGUUGUUCGGAAUUACUGGGCGUAAAGCGCACGUAGGCGGACUAGUCAGUCAGAGGUGAAAUCCCGAGGCUCAACCUCGGAACUGCCUUUGAUACUGCUAGUCUAGAGUUCGAGAGAGGUGAGUGGAAUUCCGAGUGUAGAGGUGAAAUUCGUAGAUAUUCGGAGGAACACCAGUGGCGAAGGCGGCUCACUGGAUCGAUACUGACGCUGANGUGCGAAAGCGUGGGGAGCAAACAGGAUUAGAUACCCUGGUAGUCCACGCCGUAAACGAUGAGAGCUAGUCGUCGGAA
rnacentral:rRNA from 1 species